AAGAUGUUGAAGACGUGCCGGCUUCCACGAGAGCUAAAGAAGAAACUGAAGAUGUGUCUUCCCCAAGGAAGCAAAAAUCUCCCAUCAGUUUCUUCCAGUGUGUCUACUUGGAUGGCCACAACGGCUAUGGAUUUCAGUUUCCUGUCACUCCCGCACAACGCCCUGGAGAGAACUCUGGCAAACCCAGUUCUUCGGGACAGAAGCAGCAAGGACAAUAGGCAACAAACACAUGACCUUACAAGUGAUUUACAAUUGGGAAAAUGAGAUUUUCUGUUUGGUCCUCAGUAGCCCAGGCGAUUGAAGGCAUUCCAUCCUGAGAAGUUCUUUUAAGGCAUUUUACUCUUCUGCCUGGUGUAGAGACAAUGGGUGGCAAAGGGACUGAAUAAUAAGCAAAUGUGUGGAAGGGUCUGAUGCACAACAUUCAGUCAUUAGUAUUCAUUUCUAUGAGAAGGCACUGCUUGCAUUUUUCUAUUUUCAAUCACUGUAAGGUUGUACACAAAUGAAAGUUUACUUAAUACUGGUUUUUUAAAAAUAUAAUCAACAUAUUAACACAAUGAAAUUCCUACCUUCCAUUAGAUAUCUGUUGUUUUAAAAAGAAAUCGAUAUUGACUGCACAGUACCUUUAAAAGGUACAGGAGUUCAUGUAAAAGAUUCUUGUGUAUUAUGUAGGAUCUGAACUCAAUUGACACAAUAAGUGGAUUCUGAAUAGUUUUAUUCUGUGUGCUUCUGUUUCUCUUUUAGUCAUACUAAUACUGUAGAACUGGCAAAGAGUUGCACCAAAGACUGCUGUAUAUUCUCUGUGACGCUCUUACGCUCAGGAUAUCUUUGAACGUUAGACGCACUAAGAUGAAGAAUAAAUGCUUGACAACUCUUAUCUCUAAGAUUUGUCUUGAGUGACAAUUAAGGCAUUCACUGAGACAGAAUUAAAACAAUUCAAUUAGGACAUUCACUCCGUCCAGGUAGGCAAGUCUGUUGAGUCACUUGUUUUAAAUAAAAGCAAACGACAUGUACUGAAUCUUAGAUUUCUCCAGACUGCGCCCUCAUGAAAAUGCCUCUGAUGUGAAGUCUCAGAUCAAUCACGGAACAUGGAUCAUAAAUGCAAAAAUAUGUUCAUGUCGUUGAAGCAUUCACAAUCCUUUUAUGAAAUGGCUUUCUUUUUCACAUUAGAAAAAUAUGAGAGCCACCAAACUUUAAGGAAAACAUUUGAACUGUGGAUGCUUUCAUGCCUUGACUGCUUUUAAGCUCAUCAGCACCCACGAAAUAGCUCCAAACUCACUUGACAAUUCCUUAUGGGAAAUGACUACUAUGGUUUUGUCAUUUUUCUAGUGACAGAAACACUCAUUUUCUUUGCAAAGUUUUGCUCUCGACUUCUAAGGUCAUUUCUGUGAUCUUUAUAAUGUUUACAGUUGCAAAAUCUAAUGACGCGGUAACUCAGGAAAUAAUGAGUUGUGCUUUCUGGCAUUAUGGUUAUCUUCCUCGAGGCCUGACCUUGCCAGAUCCUGUAUCAUCAGGUGAAUUAUUUUCAAUGACUGCAACUAUUAAUGGUUUUUGACACUUAACAGUUUUGCUAAAAAUUCUUAAUCUAGAACAUCUGUCAUACGUUCGUUGUUUUAAAAAAGUGAAUUUCAGCGAGUUUUGUGAAAGAAGUUGAUCUCAGCCACAUGCUGGCAGAUCUAAUUCAUACCACAAGACCCAGCACCACAAGGAACCAGAUUAAUGACACUUUUUAGGGGCACACAUCUGGAAACAACUUCAGGUUGAGCCAGAUAUACCAACUUAUAAAGCCCCUUCACGUAGCUGGAUAAACUUGCCAGUUCGACAGUGAGAAAACUUUAUUGUUGACUUGCUCUCCAACAUGUUGAACUUAACAAGUUAGAAACAGGGAGAUAAUGUGAUACCUGUUUUAUAUUUGACAGAACAGAAUGUAAUAUCACUAAAUGAUUAACAUUCAGUGACAAGCGAGCACUUAACUCUUUCUACACUGUCUGGCCCUGGACUGUGUAAGACAAAGCGAUGCAUUCGAUCACCAGUGAUAACCUGGCAAGUUUGCUAAAUGGACUGUAUCUAUUUUCUCAAGUAUUUAUUCUACUUGAGUAAAGUAGGGCUAUGAAGUGCAACACCCUAAUAGCUCUCACAGGUACUAUGAAGAUUGAUCAAAUAUCUUCCUAUGUUUAUGGCACCAGAAUACAUUUCUGAAAUAAUACUUUCGGACAUGGCACUAUAUUUUCUCUUUUCCAUAUUAUGUUGUCCUUUCUUUUAUUCUCAUUUUGAAAAUAAUUUGAUAAAAACAUGCAUAUGUCAUUGUACUUAGAAUUUAGUUAAAUUGAUUAUAACGUAAGCAAUUUUAAUUAUUUAAAUUCUUCUGACUGAGAUUACAAUGGAGUUAACACUCAUAAAAUACCAUUCUAAAUUGUCAUCUGUUCCAAUCAAAUAAAAUAUUUCUAACUCUUUCAA